rnacentral:rRNA from 1 species
ACUCCUACGGGAGGCAGCAGUGGGGAAUAUUGCACAAUGGGCGCAAGCCUGAUGCAGCCAUGCCGCGUGUGUGAAGAAGGCCUUCGGGUUGUAAAGCACUUUCAGUUGUGAGGAAGGUGGUGUCGUUAAUAGCGGCAUCAUUUGACGUUAGCAACAGAAGAAGCACCGGCUAACUCCGUGCCAGCAGCCGCGGUAAUACGGAGGGUGCGAGCGUUAAUCGGAAUUACUGGGCGUAAAAGCGCAUGCAGGUGGUUUGUUAAGUCAGAUGUGAAAGCCCGGGGCUCAACCUCGGAACUGCAUUUGAAACUGGCAGACUAGAGUACUGUAGAGGGGGGUAGAAUUUCAGGUGUAGCGGUGAAAUGCGUAGAGAUCUGAAGGAAUACCGGUAGGCGAAGGCGGCCCCCUGGACAGAUACUGACACUCAGAUAGCGAAAG